rnacentral:rRNA from 1 species
CGGGCUUAGUGAUCCGGUGGUUCCGCAUGGAAGGGCCAUCGCUCAACGGAUAAAAGCUACCCCGGGGAUAACAGGCUUAUCUCCCCCAAGAGUCCACAUCGACGGGGAGGUUUGGCACCUCGAUGUCGGCUCAUCGCAUCCUGGGGCUGUAGUCGGUCCCAAGGGUUGGGCUGUUCGCCCAUUAAAGCGGUACGCGAGCUGGGUUCAGAACGUCGUGAGACAGUUCGGUCCCUAUCCGUCGUGGGCGUAGGAAAUUUGAGAGGAGCUGUCCUUAGUACGAGAGGACCGGGAUGGACGCACCGCUGGUGUACCAGUUGUUCUGCCAAGGGCAUAGCUGGGUAGCUAUGUGCGGAAGGGAUAAGUGCUGAAAGCAUCUAAGCAUGAAGCCCCCCUCAAGAUGAGAUUUCCCAUAGCGUAAGCUAGUAAGAUCCCUGAAAGAUGAUCAGGUUGAUAGGUUCGAGGUGGAAGCAUGGUGACAUGUGGAGCUGACGAAUACUAAUAGAUCGAGGACUUAACCAU